rnacentral:rRNA from 1 species
AGAUUGAACGCUGGCGGCAGGCCUAACACAUGCAAGUCGAGCGGUAGAGAGGUGCUUGCACCUCUUGAGAGCGGCGGACGGGUGAGUAAUGCCUAGGAAUCUGCCUAGUGGUGGGGGAUAACGUUCGGAAACGGACGCUAAUACCGCAUACGUCCUACGGGAGAAAGCGGGGGACCUUCGGGCCUCGCGUCAUUAGAUGAGCCUAGGUCGGAUUAGCUAGUUGGUGAGGUAAUGGCUCACCAAGGCGACGAUCCGUAACUGGUCUGAGAGGAUGAUCAGUCACA